GACGAACGCUGGCGGCGUGCUUAACACAUGCAAGUCGAACGGUGAAGCGCCUUCCUUUUUGGUGGGUGUGGAUGAGUGGCGAACGGGUGAGUAACACGUGAGUAACCUGCCCCCUUCUUCUGGAUAACCGCAUGAAAGUGUGGCUAAUACGGGAUAUUCUGGGUCUGUCGCAUGAUGGGUCUGGGAAAGAUAUUGUUUCGGUGGGGGAUGGGCUCGCGGCCUAUCAGCUUGUUGGUGGGGUGAUGGCCUACCAAGGCGGUGACGGGUAGCCGGCCUGAGAGGGUGGACGGUCACACUGGGACGGAGACACGGCCCAGACUCCUACGGGAGGCAGCAGUGGGGAAUAUGGCACAAUGGGCGCAAGCCUGAUGCAGCGACGCCGCGUGAGGGAUGGAGGCCUGCGGGUUGUGAACCUCUUUCGCCAGUGAAGCAGGCCUGCCUCGUUUGUGGGUGGGUUGACGGUAGCUGGAGAAGAAGCGCCGGCUAACUACGUG
rnacentral:rRNA from 1 species